UACGGGGGGGGCGAGCGUUGUUCGGAAUUAUUGGGCGUAAAGGGAGCGUAGGCGGUGUGGUAAGACUGGUGUGAAACCUUCAGGCUUAACUUGGAGCUUGCAUCAGUGACUGCCGUGCUAGAGUGCGGGAGAGGAUAGUGGAAUUCCCGGUGUAGCGGUGAAAUGCGUAGAUAUCGGGAGGAACAUCGGUGGCGAAGGCGGCUAUCUGGACCGCAACUGACGCUGAGGCUCGAAAGCCAGGGGAGCAAACAGG
rnacentral:rRNA from 1 species